GAGUACGCUCAGAGGAUGGACAGGCAAGGUAGGGGUAAAGCAGCCCAAGGCAGUCUUCACAACGUUCAGCCUAAGCAGAGCACACUGCCCCCCAGCAGCCUCAUCCUAGAGUGCUCUCCCUCCCACAGCCCUCCCUUAAGCCUGCCUCCUUCCUCGGGGCCAAGAGGGAAACCACGACAUGUGCUGGUAUUCUGCUGUGCCAGGAGAGCAGAGCGACUCAGAAAAGCACAACCGCUUGUAAAAGCAGGAAAGUAGGCAACAGGUUUGCUUUCCUAGCUGAUUUCAGGAGUGAUACCCAACAACAGCUUGUUGUACUUUCCUGUCUGCUUGGCCAUCUAUAACCUUUGAAGAGCAACAGUGGCAGACGUUCAUGGUGGAUACACAAAUCCUAGAGGCUGCUGCAGCUGCUGCAGAAGGGCAGCCAGGCAGCUGGAAGCUGCAGACAGAAUGAGGUCACCCUGCCCCCUCACAGCAUCAUCCUCACGGAGCUGGGGCUGUACCCAAGGGGCAGGGAGCUCACCAGGAAGCAGAAUGGGAGAACAGGACACCUAAAUUCAGAAGACGAGCUGCAAAUGUUAUGAUGUGAACUGGACCAUCAGGAGCAAAGCCACCACAGCACUCUCAACCCAUGAGUCAGCAAACCCCUGCCUCUCUUCUCUCUGCUGACUCAGACAAAUCUUAGAAGGGGACGAGCCCAAAACUGCAUGACGUGAUCUUUCCUUGCAUCUCCCUGGCAAUUACCCACUUACCACCACACUGUCAGCAAUUGUGGCCAUUGGGUCAGACAAGAAACAAUAAAAAAGAUGUCUGGGGAAAAAGCUGAGUGCACAAAGUGUCCCAGAAGACCCCGAGCGUUUAGAGUACCUGUGCCAAGAGGCUGCUAUGCACGAAAAAUAAUUGUGCGAUGGGUCAGAGCUUGUUUACUUCCUCUUGUAGACAACACAGGAGAAAAUGGGACCCUGAAGAGAAACCGGCCCUGAAUGCAAGGCUAAAUGAUUAGCAGGACUAGAUCAUCAACUAUUAACCCUGUCCUGAGGCUCUUGGCUGGUGUUAUACAUCAUGCCCAUCUAAAGAAUCUGGUCUGAGCCCCAUGCCACCUCCAGCCAUGCCAGUGAGGAGACCCUCACUUUCCCACUGCUGAGUUUCAGACCCUUCCAGCAGCCCGGACAUCCUCCCCUCCACAGCUUUGCAUAUGGUGGGGCUGGGCUGGCUUGUGGUCUGCAUGGCUGAGCUGACUCCUCUGGCUGAAUUUGCCUGAAGCAAGAGAGGAAGCACAGACAAAUUGAUCUCUCAGAAGAGAUGCCUCUGGAAUCCCCCUUUUCCAACAACAGUUAAUGUUUAAAAGGGAACUUUAUAGGCAUUAACAAGAUCUUUAUUAAUUUGGAAAGAAAACAUCAGCUUUUUGUCUUCUAACUACAAGCAAGCCACCAAAUUACUACACAAGCACUUCACAACACAGCCAAAGAUUUCCACUUUCUCUCCAAUGAUGAAUUGAUUUUGUCUCAGAUCGAGCCCACAGUCAAAACAAAAUGACCAGGACUCGCUCCAAGUCCCCACAGUGAUCAGGAAUAAAGCAAAACCUGGCCAGCAGACAACCCAAGGUGGGCACUGCCAACCAGGCCAGGCUGAGCAGGAGAGGAAGGUUUCCUCCUCAACCCCACAUCUGCCCAUUAAGUGCAAGGAGCACACGAACAAAUAUCCCUCUCCAUAUCUCAGUUAUGUUUAUCCAUAAAGCAUUGGGCUGGUCUGUUUCAAA